rnacentral:rRNA from 1 species
GACGAACGCUGGCGGCGUGCUUAACACAUGCAAGUCGAACGGAAAGGCCUCUUUCGGGGGGUACUCGAGUGGCGAACGGGUGAGUAACACGUGGGUAACCUGCCCUUGACUUUGGGAUAACUUCAGGAAACUGGGGCUAAUACCGGAUAGGAGCUCCUGCUGCAUGGUGGGGGUUGGAAAGUUUCGGCGGUUGGGGAUGGACUCGCGGCUUAUCAGCUUGUUGGUGGGGUAGUGGCUUACCAAGGCUUUGACGGGUAGCCGGCCUGAGAGGGUGACCGGCCACAUUGGGACUGAGAUACGGCCCAGACUCCUACGGGAGGCAGCAGUGGGGAAUAUUGCACAAUGGGUGGAAGCCUGAUGCAGCAACGCCGUGUGCGGGAUGACGGCCUUCGGGUUGUAAACCGCUUUCGCUCAUGACGAAGCUUUGUGUGACGGCAGUGGGUAAAGAAGCACCGGCUAACUACGUG